UUUUUGAUUUUUGUUUUUCAUUUUAGAUCAUAAAAUUCUUAGGUGAGGAGCUGUGUUCCCUCUUCCAUCCAUUGUAAUUUCUCAUCUUUCCAUCUUCUUCAUCUCCUUCUUUCUUUUCCUCUGCUCUCAAACAUUUAUUGGAAGACUAAGCAGUGCCAACCACUAUACAAAGCAUUAAACAAACAAAACAAAACAAACACAAGGAGGCAUGAUUCUUUCACUGAGAAACGAACUUCCAGAGCUAAGUAUUAAUAUAAUUCCUGACAGGGCAGUUACUUUAGGGACAAAGAGAUGAAUGGCAGUGCAGCUGUGGAGGAAGAAGUGGCAUUCCUGACUGAGCUCAUAUAAGGGGCAUUAUACAGAUCAAUAUUUUGUCUGAGUAGAAAUGAGAUAGACAAAGGUGGGGAGCAUUCAGGAAAGGACAGAGACAGCGCAGGUGCAUGAAGGGUGCACAGUGGCCUGUCAUUUGUCUUUGCCAAAGCUGCAGAGCAGUGUGGAGGACUGGGGGCUGUGGGUGGAGAGUGUCCGGGCCAGGCCUAUUGGGAGUGCCUUUGAUGCCAUGCCAAAACCUUUGCAUUAUUUUGUUCUCAAACAGCCAAAUAAAGGAUUUUAAGUGACAUAACCAUUUUUUUCUUUUAGCUCUAGUGUUCCUGCUUCCACGUAUAGAACUGUGUGAGAGAGGAAGAGAGAGAGAGAGAAAGAGAGGAAGGAAGGGAGAAGAGAGGCAUUAGGGAGUAGGGAACUGAGUAACAUUUUCAGACCAGGAAAGAUGAAGAGGACUAAGUUUUAAGCCUGAGGAUAUUUGCUGAAUACACAAGGGAGGUGUUUAAUAGAGUAAUGUAGUACUGGACUCAGUAGGUUUAUUCCUUGCUUUCUCUCUCUCUCUCUCUCUCUCUCCAGAUCAAUGCCACAAGUGUCUUCUCGCUCACUUCAAAAGUGAUGAUGCAAUUUCUUGCUGUCACUUAGAGUUCACUGUCUUCAUUAUAAUUGUGUUUUUGUCUCUUUGGCUCCAACCCUUUAUGCAAGGGCUUCAAAGAAUGGUUUGUUCUGCUUUCUGGUUUUAUGUCUUUUUAUUACACCAUAGUGCAGUCUUAAAAACCCUUAGUCCUUAACAUUUCCAAAACAAUCUGCAAAUAUUAGCUAACCAAUUCGCAUCUUGACCCCGGGAGGCUGGGUCAGUGUGAUUAUUUCGGCUUUAUAGAUGAGCGAGCUGGAUGGGGAAGGUUGAAGGAUUUGCUUGGGUUUGCAAAAUAAAGCAGAGAGCAAGUGCAUCAUUCACAAGAGGAUCAUUCCUGACUGAUCAUAUUUCUGUUCUUGAGAAGCAGCUGGUGGAAAAGAGGAGGAUGGUGUGGGUCAGGGGAAGUCAGAGGAGAAUUUUACGGUCUUCGGCAAGACACAUCACGAACAUGAGCUGGUUUCCUCACUGGAUAUAAUUAUCUAUUUAUGUGUCUCCUGCCUGUUGAGUGAUUCUUAAUUACAAUGUUCUUAGAUGCUUGAGAUCCAUAAGCCUAUGUAUUUUCCUUACACAUAUUAGGAGACAGGUAUUAUAUCCACUUUUCACAUAUGAAAAAAAUGAGACUUGGGAGAAAUCAAUAUACGCAAAGCUUCAUCACCAGAAGUGGCCAGCAUGCCCAGAACACAACCUCAGUUUGCAGAUGAAAUAGUUUCCACAGAGAUUGUAAGAAAACCUGCAGAAAGGAUACAAUAAUUUAAAAAUAAAUUAAGCAAAGCUUAG
rnacentral:lncRNA from 1 species